rnacentral:misc_RNA from 1 species
AGUCGUAACAAGGUUUCCGUAGGUGAACCUGCGGAAGGAUCAUUAACAAAUUACAUUCACACGUGUUUACACAACUACUACCAAACCUUAUAAACAUCAAUACUAAAUCAAAACUUUCAACAACGGAUCUCUUGGUUCUCGCAUCGAUGAAGAACGCAGCGAAAUGCGAUACGUAAUAUGAAUUGCAAGUCUUGUGAAUCAUCGAAUCUUUGAACGCACAUUGCGCCCGGGGGCAUUCUCCCGGGCAUGCCUGUUUGAGCGGUGUUUCUCUCUCGCAAGGUGUUGGACAGCACUGCAAGUCUGUCUCAAAGUGGCCAGGUCUAAUGUACUACGCUUCAUUACCGCCUUUUCGACAUCACCCCCAAAUCAGGUAGGACUACCCGCUGAACUUAAGCAUAUCAAUAA